rnacentral:rRNA from 1 species
ACGGAAGGCAGCAGCUAAGAAUAUUCCGCAAUGGACGAAAGUCUGACGGAGCGACGCCGCGUGGAUGAUGAAGGUCGAAAGAUUGUAAAAUCCUUUUAGGAGUGAAGAAUAAGCGGUGCAGGGAAUGGCAUCACGGUGACGGUAGCUCCUGAAUAAGCAACGGCUAAUUACGUGCCAGCAGCCGCGGUAACACGUAAGUUGCGAGCGUUGUUCGGAAUUAUUGGGCGUAAAGGGCAUGUAGGCGGUUUUGCAAGCUUGGUGUGAAAGGCAGGAGCUUAACUCCUGGACUGCGUUGAGAACUGCAAGACUAGAGUUACUGAAGAGCAAUCAGAAUUCCAGGUGUAGGGGUGAAAUCUGUAGAUAUCUGGAAGAAUACCAAUGGCGAAGGCAGGUUGCUGGCAGAUGACUGACGCUGAGGUGCGAAGGUGCGGGGAGCAAACAGGAUUAGAUACCCUGGUA